GACAGAGGGUGCAAACGUUUGUUCGGAAUUACUGGGCGUAAAGCGAGUGUAGGCGGUUUGGAAAGUCGGAUGUGAAAGCCCCGGGCUCAACCCGGGAAGUGCACUCGAUACUCCCAGCUAGAGUAUCGGAGAGGUUGGCGGAAUUCUCGGUGUAGAGGUGAAAUUCGUAGAUAUCGAGAGGAACACCGGCGGCGAAGGCGGCCAACUGGACGAAUACUGACGUGAGAACUCGAAAGCGUGGGGAGCAAACAGG
rnacentral:rRNA from 1 species